GCCAGUGGUGAUAGCACAAUGAAUGCAUCAGUUUCCCAUGGAUCACUAAAGUUAAGCAAUGUUGUGUGUGGUCAGUAUCAGGACAAUCACAUGCUACUGGCU
rfam:Asian citrus Psyllid, Diaphorina citri - Florida Strain, whole genome shotgun sequence.